rnacentral:rRNA from 1 species
CUUGCUAAGUUUGAUGGCGACCGGCGCACGGGUGAGUAACACGUAUCCAACCUGCCGAUGACUCGGGGAUAGCCUUUCGAAAGAAAGAUUAAUACCCGAUGGCAUAGUUCUUCCGCAUGGUGGAACUAUUAAAGAAUUUCGGUCAUCGAUGGGGAUGCGUUCCAUUAGGUUGUUGGCGGGGUAACGGCCCACCAAGCCUUCGAUGGAGUAGGGGUUCUGAGAGGAAGGUCCCCCACGUUGGAACUGAGACACGGUCCAAACUCCUACGGGAGGCAGCAUG